GAAAUAUCCACCUCAUGAGUUUAAAUGUCCCAAGGGAGUGUGUCUGAGAGGGGCUAACUUCCAACUUGGGCCAGAUCCCUGCAUACUUCUGGAGGCAGCUCGCUGGCCUCCACCAUCAUCCGCAAAUUAUUAUGGGGCAAGUUAACGGGGACCUGCUUUCUGCAGCGACUUUGCUCAGUGUUGAGGAUGCAGAGGUGACCGAGACGUCACUCCUGUCUCAAGAACUCAAGAGUAUAGCAGAAAAGGGAGACUAGAACAUUCAUGGUGAAACUUAUCAUCAGGUAUGAAGGAGGUAUGCAGAGGACAUCAGGAGGAAGAGUGGCACAGGAUAGGGGUAACGACAAACCAGGAAAAGCGAAGAAAGGCUUCCCAGGAGGCCGAUUCCAAUUUCGAGAGUAACCUGGCAUCUCCUUGUGGAGCAGGUGGAGGAUGGCAUUCUGGCGGGGGCCAGACCAGCUGUGAUGGCGCCAGGAGCGUUGGCUGGUCGGUGUGGUGGGAGCAGAGGACACGUGUGAGCCAUUUGCAAGACUCCCAUGUUCAUGGUGGUGGAGGGCUGCUGAAUGCGGCAAGACAGACCAGUCCACAGCCCCCUGGACAUUGGCGCAUGCCCGUGAGGAAGACGCAUGACUAA
rnacentral:lncRNA from 1 species